GACGGCCUCACGUUCACUGCUAGGACAUCUGUUGUUGUUCAGCUUUGACUUUCUUGUAAACUAAAAAAAGAAAAAAAACAACUCUUUCCAAGUCUUUAGCUUUCACCACGCUUUUUGUUCUUGAGCUGAAACAAACUUGAAUGGGGAGAAAAAUGAGAAUUUUUUCAGUCAGUAUCUUUCUUGCUUCAAAAAGUAGCUAAUGGCCAUUAUGUUUCCCUUUUUUAGAGACGCGAGUGGAAGAAGUUACUUUCCAGCUCCCACUCCAGCCUAACAUUAAAUGAAACAUUUGAGAAGAGAUAGUUUCAAAGUGGUCAAUGUCACAAGUGAGAUGUAUUAUUACCGCCGUCCCAGGGCAUUGCUGAGGAACACACAAGUAAACAGCAACUAAAAAAGCCACUGUCCUCUCCUAAAAAAGGACAACGUUAGUGAAAAAUAAUUUACUCCUUCUUACUGCUCUAAUUCCUGUGACUUCACAAGCAUCCAGAAACUCCUUCUCAUGCAUGAUCUGGAGGGAUAAGUUAGUCUGGGGUCGGAGGUGGGGCUCUUCCUGUUUUGUACCAGUGCUGGGCCACCAAGCCUCCACCCCCAGUUUUGCACAGAUGGUGUUCAUGGUGGACGGGGACUGAGAACACUGUACAGAAGAAGAUGUUGACAGUGGGAAUUCAGGAGAGCAAUAUACAUAGUAUUUCUGGUUUUGGAAAGUUUCAUCAAAAAAGAAAACUGAAUCACACUACAUCAAAGACAUUGGGAAAACUCUACUGGGUCAAACAAGAAAUCAGCAGAGCACGGGGCCGGUGAGGGUACAGUGGAGACCCAAGUGGAACACAGACCACUGGAAGAAGACCAGCUAACUGCAGGACCAAAAAAAAAUCUGCUUGGCGCCACAAAAUGCAAGAGAACUCUUUCCCCUUUCUGACUACAAAGCUCGCUACUUAAUUGUACAAAUAUUUGUGGGUUUGGCGAAGGCUCCUGGUUUGACAAUGUGUGACAACAUUCAAGUUUCCAAAUGGGUGGGGAUUGAAGAAAUGAGUCUCAAUAAACAAUUUGGGGCAGGCAAACAAUCGA